GGGAGGCUAGGGAUGCGGCUGAGAAAGCACAACAGUUGUUGCAGAAUGUCUCAAACAGGAAGAAAAAUAAACAGUUUGAGAAAGGCGGAUUAGUUAUUACCAGGGCAGUGUAUGGAAAUCGUGAAGCAAUCAAAAGAAGUGGUGAACAGACUGAACGAAAUGCUUCAUGAAGGCGUGAAGAAGUCUGGCAUUAUGGGCUUCUGUGAUGUGUGCCCAGGAGAACCCAAGCAAUUGCUUGUGGAAUAUACAUAUGGUGGCCAGAAAUUUGAGGUUCUACUUCUAAUAUUCCUAUGUAUAUGAGUAUAAUCUUAAGGUUAUACACGUUGCUGGUUAUGUGACUUGUGACUUUGUGCAGGUGAUAGUUGAUGACACCCAGGAAUUAUUGAUUCCUCAAGACAGACACAGAAUUUAGUUCAUGUUAAAGAGUGCUAGACGUGAGCAGGCUGCCUCGGACAAUUUUGCAUGUCUCCAUGCCAUUGAGGCUCUGACCUGCGGCAUAAGGAUUCGAAUAUGCUUUACCUAUAAACUUGAUCUCAUUUAAAACUUAUUUGCCAUUCGUAAUUGACAGAAACUGGCAUUAGUGUCACUAUUACAUUUUAGACUAUUACAUUUUGUAUUUGUUUGUUGUAUUAGAUGUUUGAACUAUUAUAUUUUGUAA